CUCCGAAUGAAUCUAUUCGUUGUAAGAGAAACAGAACCUUCUCUAAAGACUAAUAAGGGAAGGCGGUUCAAAUCCGCCACAGCCCCCGCUACUGUAAGGCAGACAAGACCCAAUAUGUCACUGAAUGUUCGGGAAGACGGGUUAAGGAUGAAGCCGAGUCAGGAUACCUGCCGAAACCUUGCGUAAACU
rnacentral:ncRNA from 2 species